rnacentral:misc_RNA from 1 species
AUCUGCCCCAUUCCAUACAAAUCCCCACUCAAAAGUAAUCAGAAGUUCAGAUCUCAUCCAAGAGAUCCCACAUCUCAGCCAUUAGAAUUCAAAUCCUUAGAUCUAAUUGAAAACUCAUUGAACCACAAAAUAAACGACAUAAAAACAAUUAAAAAGAAACUAUAUUUUUGCUCAGUCAAGAAAUACUAACCAAAGACGGUGUUGAUGGGGUUCAUGGCA